UCCGUAGGUGAACCUGCGGAAGGAUCAUUAAGAGUUUAGGGGCGCUCGGCCCCGAAAACCCGACUUUAACCCUGUGAACUUGUUCUCUGUUGCUUCGGCGGGCCCGCCCUCCGCGGCCCGGCUUCCCUCGGGAGGCUGGAGCGCCCGCCAGAAGACUAUUUUCUCCCGUUUUGGUGAAUGUCUGAAACAAUCACAAGUUAUUAAAACUUUCAACAACGGAUCUCUUGGUUCUCGCAUCGAUGAAGAACGCAGCGAAAUGCGAUAAGUAAUGUGAAUUGCAGAAUUCAGUGAAUCAUCGAAUCUUUGAACGCACAUUGCGCCCCUCGGUAUUCCGACGGGCACGCCUGCGUGAACGUCAUUUAAACGCUCGAGCCCGGCUCGGUGAUGGGGUUGGCCCGGGAGGGCCUCCGCCCGCAAGCGAACGUUGGUCGGUGGGAAGAGUCGCCCCGAGUAGUGAACACGCCUCGAAGGCUUCUUUCCGCGGCCCCUUCUCCUUUAAAACUUGACUUCACGUCAGACGAGGUUACCCGCUGAACUUAAGCAUAUCAAUAAGCGGAGGA
rnacentral:rRNA from 1 species